UGUGUUUCUACUUUUCAUCCAUCGAGAAAACCUCAUCUUUCUUCCCCUUUUAGAUCUGCUGAAGACGGUGAUGGUGAUUUUGACUACCGUGGAUGCUUAACAAGUGGUGGUGUGGUUGUUGGUUCCGAAAACAUGUUUUUUCAGAAAACAUUUUCAGAUCUAAGAUUUUUAUACGGAGGUGGUAGGUGUGUCUUUAAUUGGAAUUCUGCUGGAGGAUGGCUUGCUCGUCUCUACAUGGAAGAAUUUGGAACCUCCAAUAUUUUCUUACUGUUGACUCUUGGAUCUCCUCUCUUGUCCGCCUCCAAAAGAUUCACGAGGAGUAAUUGAUGAAACUAGAGGCCUCUUGGAUUAUGUUGAAAUACAUUACACACCUGUUGUUUAUACUUUGAAGUUGAGAUAUGUAUGUGUUGCAAGGAGACAUCAAGACCAGAGUACAAUCAAAUCCUUGUGAAGGUGUCUGGGGUUGUGACUUAUAGGGAAAUCAGGUGCUCUAGCAAUUUCAGUUGCCAAUCCUACUGAAUCUUUUGAAAGUCCAACUUCAAUCAGAAGGAAAAUUGUCACUUGUGUACAUAGUUGUACACAAGUGAAGAUGGUGUUACUGAGAUUUCAAGGGUGUUAGAACUGUUGAUUUUAUGAAUAUGAGAUGGAGACAGUACUUACUUUGUGUGAUUUAGAGUCUGCAGUGACUAAGAUGAUAACGAAAUGAAGAAGCGUUGUGUAUUGUUGCUAGCUGAGCACUUACAGGGUAUGGAUGAGAUGCAGCUGGAUAUGAAGCAAUUGCAGGUGAUGCUAUGGGAAAUUUGGAAGAAUGGGUUUGCUUCUAUGUUGCAGUACAAGGAAUGGUGCAUCUAAGUAAUUGGUGCUAUUGAGAUGGUAGAACUCUAAAGUGGUGAUCAGGUGAAUAAAUAUCAAAUGCCGAUAGAAUUGCAAAUAUGAAAUUUGAAAUGUGUGAUGUUGGUGGUACUGAGGAGCAGAAUUUAUGUUGUUGUUGGAUGGGUAGUGUUGCUGCAGAAAAGUGUAACUAAGAUUGGAAAGCUACAGAAACGGAUAAAAAAUUUGAGUUGAAUGGUUGAGGUGCUGUAGUUGUUUGCAGCAGAAGGGUAAAGAGUGGAUGAGCGUUGGAGCUGGUGUUGGUAAUGAGUUUCGGUUGUAAACAGGUUGUAUUUUGUAGAUGUGUACAUGUUUGUAUGCCAAU